AUCUUGAGAUGGGCACUGGUCUUCUUUUGGCCAAACUCAAACAUUUGCAUUUCAAAUACUAAGAGGUUGCAAAUUCCCCAUCUAGAUGAACCUACAAUUUCUACAAAGCUGUACUUCCAUUUAGCCUUUGCGCCAUCCUCAUCUGAAUGACCCUAAUGUUUCUGUAACGAUUACUGAAAAAGUUCUAGUGCUUGGAAAAUUGUUACAUGUAGCAAUAUCAUUGCAGCUCCUCGCUAGAUGCAAAAUGUAACCAAGGAAAACUGUAAGCUGAAAAGAUGAACAUUAGUUUCAAAGGUACUCUCCAUAAUCCAGCAGCCACAUAUUAGAAGGAACUACAUAAAAAUGACAAGGAACUAAAAGAGACUUAUCCAUGGCAGUGCUAAAAGAGCCCCAAGGAAGAAUAAAUUUAUCAUAUUCGAAAACAUAGCUCCGAAAGCUAAAAGAAUGGGUCAAAGAUGAGCAAAACCAACGAGUGCGGCGAAUCUGCACCCGGGCUCGGCUGCACCCGCGCUCACGGAAAAAAUCAAAAAAAAUACUAGAAAAAUUCAAAAAAAUUCAAAAGAAAAUUGUGUGGUAGAUAAUUUGAUGCAUGAGGUUCGCUCCAAAUUUGAACUCAUUUGAACAUUUGAGUAGCUCUGGGCAAAAAAGACAAAACCGAGGUCUGUAAAACAGUUUACUGUUUAGGAACUGUUUUGACCCGAUUUGUCUUUUUUGCCCAGAAUUGCUCAGAUGUCCAAAUGAGAUGAAAUUUGGAGCGGACCUCACGCAUCAAAAGAUCUACCACACAAAAUUUUUUGGAAUUUUUUGAAAUUUUCUAGUAUUUGUUUUGAAAUUUUUUUUUGAGCGGGUGCAGCUGAGCCCGUGCUCAGAUGCAGAUUUUCGAAAACCAACACUUAAUAGUAUAUAAGAAUCUGAAGCAAAGCCCAAGAGAAAUUUUAUUUGUUGCAAAAAAAGUAAAUAUUAAAUCUGCAAGCUACAAUAUAAAGUAGAAAUUGGAAAAUUAGGAAGCUACAAUAUAAGCAAACCUUUCUAUGAUAGUGGAAACCACCUGAAGAAACUAGAGAAACCUAUUUAUACGGUGUUGCCGUACACCAUAUUUUUAUGUGUGGAAGAAGCCAAGAUGGUAUUAGAAUGUUCGGAAUUCAGACCAGCAUUUUUCAAUUUACCCCUGACUGUAAAAGCUUGUUAUACUUACAGAGAUAAACAUUUGUACACAUUUUUGCAUGUUUAAGUUUAUGUUUGUCAGCACUUGAACAAGGACUGAAUUACUGGAAGAAAAUCUUGGUAUACAGAAACUAUAGGUUUCUGGAAAGUUGGCGCUGUCAAAUUUUACUGUGAUAUUUUCUUUCAUCAAGUAUUGGUGCAGGGUAGCAGACAAGAUAAAUAAAUCAAGAGAGAUAUGUGCAGGAUUUCGACUAUAUACGAAAGAUUAAGCCAUUGUUGCUACGGCCAGCAUAAUCUAUCCUAAGAUGUACAGAAAUAAUACGGAGAAGAAUGCAGUGAGCAAAUGCACAUCUGUCUUCGAGUUCCUUACUGAUUGCAAAGAAAAUACAGAUACGAAAAAUGAAGUGGCAGCUAAUUUGCAUUACUAAUUGAUGAAACAAUGUAUGUGCACUGAAAACAAGUCAAAUUGGACGCCUGUUCAAAGACAGAAAAAUAAAAUUCGACAUCUGCUCGGCACCGCUGUGAUUUGCCCUCUAAAAUUAUUCAACAAAGUAGGCUAGUUAUGCUAAUAGCAAUCUGCUUCUUCACGGGUUGGCUUGUAUUCAAUUAGCAUGUUCAACAACUUCUUCAUGGGUCGUUGAAGAGAUUUGGAUUAAACUCACUAGCACAUAGUGGAGCAAGCAGCAUGAAUCGCUUGCGGUUGAAGCAGCGCAGUGACGACCCGACACCGUUCCUGUGGCCAGCAGACUAUCACAAGUCGAUUUGCCCAAAAUUGAGGCCACACCCUGUACACCUUGCCGACAUUGCUGCCGAGCACCAUGUCGUCACAACCCCACCGUGGUCGGCCGCCGCUCCCCAAUCCGCCCAGCCUUUCUUCCGACCACCAUGACAUUGCGCCCACCCGCUGGUCACUUAGAUGUCGGCCACCACCCCCAAGCUAGUCGCCGUCGAAAACCGCAUGCCACCAUGAUUUUUUUAGGGAAUCGGCCACCACGAUUAGAAUAGGAAACGACGAGCUGGAGAAACGGGGAUAUAGCUACCACGAACAGAAAGUUUUCUUUUUUGCAAAUGUAAACUUACGUCGGCACUAAAAGAUUUCACCUCACGCGUGGAGAGGCAUAACACAUUGAUUGGAUUAGAUCCAAGAGAAAUCUGACACGGUUGAUCGACCAGGGUGCGUUAUUACUUAUUAAUAAAGUUACUAUAUAUAUAUAUAUAUAUAUAUAUAUAUAUAUAUAUAUAUAUAUAUAUAUAUAUAUAUAGUGUUACUAUUCAUCAUUCAGGAUGCAGAAUAAGUAUUUCUUCACCCGAGGUAAUCUUACGAUCAUUUCAUAAUUAAAUUACGUUUAGAAUUCAAAUAGUUACAUUCCUAUUGAUUCACUAUGUAAAAUUUGACAUAAAAAAUAAAAAUAUAGGUCAUAAGACAAGAAAAUUUGUAGUUUAUGUGUAUUUUAGACUAUGUUUUUACGUUUAUAAUUUUAUAUAACAUAAAAUAUUUUUUACGGCGAUUAUAUAUUUUCUUACGGUCUCUUUUUACGUCGGAAAUAAGACAAAACUUACGAAACGUAAAAUUACGGUACAUUGAUGGUAAAAUAGAGGGGGGUGAAGAAUAACUAUUCCUCAACCAGGGUGACGAAUAGCACGACCCGGUCGCACUAUUCGUCACCCUGGGUGAGGAAUUCUUAUUCCUCACCCCAGCCAGCCAGUGCACCGCGCAAACCAGUCCGCACGCUUCCACAUCCAUGGAGCACCGAUGUACUCCCUCCGUUCCUAAAUAUAAGUCUUUGUAGAGAUUUCACUAUGAACCACGUACGGAUGUAUAUAGAUACAUUUUAAGUAUAGAUUCAUCUAUUUUGCUCCGUAUGUAGUCCACCUAGUGAAAUCCCUACAAAGACUUAUAUUUAGAAACGGAGAGAGUAAUAAUCUUUGCAUGCAACGUAAUCUUACGGUGUGGAAGCGACGGACAUGAGAGACAUGCACGCACCCAUCAUGCAUACCCGUAAAUUUAUGGCCAAAGAUUAGAUAAAUUACCACUGUGUAGUACAUUGGCUCUACUGCAUGGAUGAGCUGUACUGCAUCGACUUUUGUUUGGCUGACACAUCGAUCAAACUUUUUAACGUGCCCUACUGCAGAUGUCUCUCUAUAAUCAGUCCUUUUUUUGGAAAAUGGAAUCUUGCAGUCAUUCCUUAGCUAUUACUCCUUCCGUCCCAUAAUAUAAAAACGUUUUUGACACCACUUUAGCAGCCGAUCUAGGAAAUUUAGGAGACGUAAACAAGAGUAUAUCAACGAAUGGUCCACCAAUUGAAUGCAAUGCCAGUGUAGGAGUUAAAUCGUGAAACGGUUGCCAAAUAUAUUAAAUUACACUGUAUAUUCCAAACUAUUUUGUUACAUUAUUUCCAAACGAUCCUGAAGGCCAUCUCGUCAGCCUCCUCUGUGGCUGACUAGCUCAUACUGAUCUCAAGAUUCUACCUUACCAGAGGAUCAAGGAUAAAGUAAAUAGUUGAGUUAGGAUGAGUACUGUAGAAACAUUCAUCUCACAGAGUCUCAAUUCCAAGGACAACCAUAGUCUUCACCCUCCUACGUUUAUCACAAGAUAAAUUUCUUCACUAAAACAUAAUUAAUGGAGGCAAUAUCUCAGGAAAAUCCCAUAUGCACGCGUGAUAAUUUAUAACAUGGAUUCUAUUAACCAUCGAGUUCUUCAUUUUCGACGAUGGCAGCAGAUGCUCGACCAAGCACACAUAGUCCCGUUCUACACGUCGCCUUGGUCACUGCUUGUAGAUUUUGAUUGGAGACUCUGCUACAUGCCCAAAAUACUGAAGUCACUUUUCAUGAUUUAUAAAAGGUAACACCGAAGACCGAUUGCUUACAUGAAACGCAUGCCCGUACUUGAAGAACCUUAGUUUCCAGUCUGAACCCUUCUGUUCAACACGACAUCAUGUUGUCAAUACACUGGGAGAAACAGCUUAUAUGAUAUUGAAAGAAACAAAUUAAGAUGAAAUAAUUAAACAAGUUAUACAGGAAAAAAAAUGCUACAGUUUUACUUUUUUUCCUUAGUAUAGUUGGGACGUUCGGGGACAACGUGAAUGUUCAAUAUAAAAAUUCAAAUGGACAGAGAAGAUGAGAUUCAGCUUGUAAGAAGCAGGGAGUACUGUCAUCCACAAAAAAAUGCAACAUCAAAAAUAAUAACAGCUCGAUGUUCCAAGCAAGCAACUUCGGAAGACCACAAAAAACAGAAGUGCUGGCAGCAUAUAUUCUUAUAGAUAGGCGGAUGGCCAUAUUAACUGAUUGUGGGAACUCUCAUGUCGUGCAAAUGGUAGGCAUAGGUACACACACCCAGUUUCUAGGACACACUUCUACCUAAAAACGUAAAGUUGAAGGAGGGAGCUUCCCACUUUAACCACUUUUCCUUUUCAUAUUUACUGAUUUUUAGGCAACCAUGCAACUAUUUCUGAAUACAAGGCCUGGAAGAUUAUGAUACAUUUUCUGGUUGACAUUAAUUGCACCCGACAAUUAUCAAGUUUUUAUUGACAAGCAGAUGUUUAUUUCAUUCAUGUACUAGUAACAAUCAUGAAGAAAACCACGCAUUACUACUACAUAGUGAAGGUCCUUUCCACACCCGUGGAGAUAACUUUUGCUUGAACCGCUACAGUACAUAUGUGAAUAGGUUGUGCCAGUAAGCUUCAAUAAAUACGCAUUAUUAUUACAUAGGCAAGGUCCACUUCCCAAUUUUACGAUCACGUAACAUAACACAACAUAGGAAUCGAGAGAAGGAGAAUCUGAGAGAGAUGGAAAUCACUGGCGGUCGUAUAUGGACAGAGCUAGGUACCUAGGCGCCGUACAGCUCAAAACAAGCAUUAUGCCUGUAGCAUAGAUAUGUCCAAAACAGACAAAUUUGGGGCCGAGAUCAGAAUCAGAAGCACAAUGAUUCACAUCUAAAUAUGGGCACUUAAUAUAUAUAAAUUCAGAUAACUAAAUUCCGUACUAAAAGUAUGUACUCGCCAUGGGAAAAUAAAUUGCCACACACCUAUGUAAAUCGAUGGAGAGGGGCUCCGUCGGUGAAGACAAGGUUGCCAACCUUCGUGGUGGGAGGAGAUAUAGACCACAUCAAGAAGCAUGCCAACGGACACCGUAACCUGAGGCCGAGGAACACCGACGACGCUACAAGACUGCUCUGCCCUGCUGCCAACCCACCGUAGUGCAAAAAUUAGGGGUGGUCCUAAGAAAAAACAUAUACUAAAAUCCUAGAAAAGUUAACUCAUAUCAAUUCCUCAUAGGUGCAUUUAUUGAAUCAUCCAGCCUAAACUGCAAACCCAUCUAACAAAUGUUUUUAAUUAAUUCUGAAUCAUGUAAAAAGUUGAAUGAUUUCCCCUAGGCCUAGCGGACUGAAACAAAACUGCAAAUGUUCAUGAGCCAGAAAACAUCAAACUUGAACACUUUAAACACCAAACCAAAUAUUAUCUCUACAUCACCUUAGUACUAGCUGACAAAAUCUUACCAUUACGUAGCAGUUGAUGCUUCUAAUCAUAUAGCACAAAAAAUCUACACAAGCGCUGCUCCAUCACAGCAUGGACGGAUGGACUGGAACAGGCAGCAGAUAGAAAAUUCCUAGUCUAAAAAGACAUUCGCCCAAACUACCUGGAGAUAGAAACCAAACAAUAAUCAGAGAGUUUUCCUUAGAAAAAAUAAUUAGUGUUAGACGAACAAAUGCAAACACGUACAAGCAUAUACAGUAAAAUUCGGAUUAUCUCUUCGGGCGUAUAGUCUUGUGAUCUCUCCGACGGGCAAUUCGGGAAGAACACGGCACAACAAAACGAAGUGAAAAUUGACUGAAACUAAAAGGAUUAGGAUCGGGGCUGCUCACCUCCAUUCGUGCGAUUCUCACCUGCACACAUCCAACCAAAUCAAAGCCAAACCCGGCGAGAAUGUUGUCGCUGCGAGCAAGGGAAGCUGACAAGCCACGGCCACCCACGACAGCGCCGCCGUCCGCCUCCAAAAACUACAGCACCGCUCACCACGUAGCCCGCCUGCCCGUCGGCCACCGCACCAGGCGCCGCUCACCACGCAGCCCGCCUGCCCGUCGGCCACCGCACGCUCGAACCCACAGCCGCCGCUCACCACGGAAGUAUUCGCCGUCGAAUCUUGAACGGCUCGCAUCGCGUGAACAGGGAGGUGGGCUGGCUAGUCCCACGAUCAGCUAACCGUAUCGUUUCUCCUGGAGAGGUCGCGUAUGUUUCCUAAAGAAAAGUAUUGUAAAAUGACGUGGCAAGCGCAAAUGUAAAAUUACCUGUCGGAGGGGUGAAAAAUUACGGUCGCGCAAGGGGAAAAGGUUUGACAGUGACGGAAAAGCGAUCUGACCAAUAAUGUUACCACUUGCUCGCUCGAAUGACGAGAAAUAAAUUAUUCUUCAUCCUGCGUUACUAAUAGAGUUUUUAUAUGGGAAUGUCUAGGGCACAUCUAGAUGUGCCCUACUUAUGGCACAUCUAAGUGAGUGAAUCAAGUAUGGAGAGGAAAAAAAAAAAAGGAAAAUAUCCACACGAAUCUCAACGUAAAAUCAAUGAUAUAGAACUUAGAUAUGCAAUACUUAUGGCAUAUCUAAAUGUACUUUAGCUUAACUGUUUCUAUAUAUAUAUGGUCAAAUGAUCAUCAUCUGCACAAUCACAAAAAGAUGAAGUACAUGCACCCCUAAUUGAUGCCCCGGAUCAUGAUUUGAGUUGAAAAUAUCAAGGCCAAGAAUCAUGGCAUGAUGGCAACAACAACAACAACAAAGCCUUUAGUCCCAAAUAAGUUGGGGUAGACUAGAGGUGAAACCCAUAAGAUCUCGCAACCAACUCAUGGCUCUGCCACAUGGAUAGCAAGCUUCCACGCAUCCCUGUCCAUAGCUAGCUCUUUGGUGAUACUCCAAUCCUUCAGGUCUCUCUUAACGGACUCCUCUCAUGUCAAAUUUGGUCUACCCCGCCCUCUCUUGACAUUCUCCGCACGCUUUAGCCGUCCACUAUGCACCAGAGCUUCUGGAGGCCUGCGCUGAAUAUGCCCAAACCAUCUCAGACGAUGUUGGACAAGCUUCUCUUCAAUUGGUGCUACCCCAACUCUAUCUCGUAUAUCAUCAUUCCGGACUCGAUCCUUCCUCGUGUGGCCACACAUCGAUCUCAACAUACGCAUCUCCGCCACACCUAACUGUUGAACAUGUCGCCUUUUAGUCGGCCAACACUUAGCGACAUACAACAUUGCGGGUCGAACCGCCGUCCUGUAGAACUUGCCUUUUAGCUUUUGUGGCACUCCCUUGUCACAGAGAAUGCCAGAAGCUUAGCGCCACUUCCUCCAUCCGGCUUUGAUUCGAUGGUUCACAUCUUCAUCAAUACCCCCGUCCUCCUGCAGCAUUGACCCCAAAUACCAAAAGGUGUCCUUCUGAGGUACCACCUGGCCAUCAAGGCUAACCUCCUCCUCACACCUAGUAGUACUGAAACCGCACAUCAUGUACUCGGUUUUAGUUCUACUAAGCCUAAACCCUUUCGAUUCCAAGGUUUGUCUCCAUAACUCUAACUUUCUAUUUACCCCCGUCCGACUAUCGUCAACUAGCACCACGUCAUCCGCAAAGAGCAUACACCAUGGGAUAUCUCCUUGUAUAUCCCUUGUGACCUCAUCCACCACCAAUGCAAAAAGAUAAGGGCUCAAAGUUGACCCCUGAUGCAGUCCUAUCUUAAUCGGGAAGUCAUCAGUGUCGACAUCACUUGUUCGAACACUUGUCACAACAUUAUCGUACAUGUCCUUGAUGAGGGUAAUGUACUUUGCUGGGACUUUGUGUUUCUCCAAGGCCCACCACAUGACAUUUCGCGGUAUCUUAUCAUAGGCCUUCUCCAAGUCAAUGAACACCAUAUGCAAGUCCUUCUUUUGCUCCUUAUAUCUCUCCAUAAGUUGUCGUACCAAGAAAAUGGCUUCCAUGGUCGACCUCCCAGGCAUGAAACCAAACUGAUUUUUGGUCACGCUUGUCAUUCUUCUUAAGCGGUGCUCAAUGACUCUCUCCCAUAGCUUCAUUGUAUGGCUCAUCAGCUUAAUUCCACGGUAAUUAGUACAACUCUGAACAUCCCCCCUGUUCUUGAAGAUUGGUACUAAUAUACUCCGUCUUCAUUCUUCUGGCAUCUUGUUUGCCCGAAAAAUGAGGUUGAAAAGCUUGGUUAGCCAUACUAUCUCUAUGUCCCCGAGACCUUUCCACACCUCAAUGGGGAUACAAUUAGGGCCCAUCGCCUUGCCUCCUUUCAUCCUUUUUAAAGCCUCCUUGACCUCAGACUCCUGGAUUCGCCGCACAAAACGCAUGUUGGUCUCAUCAAAGGAGUCGUCCAGUUCAAUGGUAGAACUAUCAUUCUCCCCAUUGAACAGCUUGUCGAAGUACUCCCGCCAUCUAUGCUUAAUCUCCUCGUCCUUCACCAAGAAUUGGCCUGCUCCGUCCUUGAUGCAUUUGACUUGGCCAAUAUCCCUCGUCUUCCUCUCUCGGAUCUUGGCCAUCUUAUAGAUGUCCCUUUCACCUUCCUUCGUGCCUAACCGUUGGUAAAGGUCCUCAUAUGCCCGACCCCUUGCUUCACCAACAGCUCGCUUUGCGACCUUCUUCGCCAUCUUGUACUUCUCUAUGUUGUCUGCACUCCUAUCCAGGUAUAGGCAUUUGAAGCAAUCUUUCUUCUCUUUAAUCGCCUUCUGGACAUCAUCAUUCCACCACCAGGUAUCCUUAUCUUCGCUUCUCCUUCCCCUGGACACUCCAAGCUCCUCCGAGGCCACCUUACGAAUGCAAGUCGCCAUCUUCGUCCACACAUUGUUCGCAUCUCCUCCUUCCUCCCAAGGGCCAUUGUCGUGGUUUUGUCACGGCAGAUGUCCUAGAGAAAGGACUUAGUGUGGAGCCAUCGCGACGGGUUAGCUUGAAGGGGGUUAAAGCGGACACAGGGACGCAAGAGACUUUAUACUAGUUCGGCCCCUUCAAUGAAGGUAAAAGCCUACGUCUAGUUGUGAUGGAAUUGAUGGGGUUUCGAUGACUAGGGAGCAAACAAGCUUUGCCUAUGUCUCGAGUUGUUCUCUGUUCUCCUUAAAACGCCGCCGGGUCGUCCCCUUAUAUACACGGGUGACACCCGUCGGUUCACGGAGUCCCAACACCGAUCGAUAUUCGUAUCCGGGUUGGUCUCUCCUUAUUCCUAACUUACAAUACAAGCUUACAUACAACUUCCGGUUUACAGCUACAAGUCUUGAACCGGCUACGGGCCUUAGGCCCUCAUCUGCCUUCUUGGGCUUUAUCACUUCUGGAACUACUGAUGAAGUUGACCCGGCCCAGAUAGGCCGGUUUAUGCCCAGCAGUAAUAUCCUCAACAUUAGGCCCCAGAUUAAUUUGAACGGGUUCAUGUCAAUCCUUUAACAAAACCUUCAUCUUCAACGUCUUCUCUAAAUUGGUAAACCGCCAUGAUGUCAUCUUCCCUGAUUAUUGUAAACCGGAGUGACGUUACCUGUCAUAACAAAGAUAUCCAUCAUGCUUCUUUGUUUAAUAUAUCUGCGGAAAUCGAGGCGACAGCUCCGUUUCAUGGCCCCUUGAUUGUCGCGCCUGACCCAUGUCUUUUUGCCUUAUAAAUAGGACCGAAGGGUCAUUUCCUUUCUUCUUUCCCUUCUUCCCCUUCUGCUUCGUCUUCCUCGCAUCGCCCGACUUCAGAGCUCCGCCGCCACCGUCGACCUCUGCCUCAACCUUGGCCGCUGCAUCAACCUGGGCGCACUAGAGCAUCGCGGCAACCUUCCGUGUCUUCCGCAGCUCCGGUAAACCUUCUAUCCUUUCCCCCGCAGAUCUGUUUUUAGGGUUUCACAGUUCUUCAGUAUUCAUCGUCUGCUUCUUGCUCAUGCGAUAGAUCUUUAGAUGAAUCCGCAAAUCUUUAUUCUGUGCAAUGAUAGUUGUUUGACCUUCGCCUUCACUUAUGCAUCUCAAAACCAUAGAUCUAUAUGAACGUUUUGCUCAUAGGUUCGGUACUGCUCCUUUUGAACCUCUAAGUAUUUAUCUCUUUUCUGAACUUGCUUCAGAUCCAAUGCUGUAAAGAAAUCUUGUGAAACCUGUUUCUGCGUACUUGUCCAUCCGCAAUCUCAGCUUUUCAAUGCUUAGAUCAGGCGGUUUAACCUUAUAGAAAAAUUUUCCAAACCGGUAUAUGCCAUUAGUCCCCUUGUUGAACCGCCUGAUGUUGGUUGCUUCAUGAAACUCCGGUUCAGAUAGUCCUGUCUCCGGUUUAAUAGUACACAUACCAACGUACCUUGAUCAAAUGCAUUUUUGAACUGGGAUCUUCUACCUUGUAGAUUCCAUCAUGGACAAGCAAGUAUAUGAGUGCAAUUGGGUUCCUUCUCGUGUCACAGAGGCUCAACUGGACAAUUUAGUCCUGAUUGGCGCUUUAGGCAGCAAAGAUACCAUCCAUUGGAGGGCUCCUGGCAAAGAAUGCCCUCCCACACCUCAAGAAGGAGAGGUUGUUGUUUUCGUAGAUCACUUAGCCCGGGGCUUUAAGCCGCCCGGUUCUAAAUUUUACCGGGAUGUUUUAGCCGAUUUCCAACUCCAUCCACAAGACACUGGCCCCAACUCAGUUACAUAUAUGUGUCACUUCCAAGUGCUCUGUGAGGUGUUCUUUCAAAAGGAGCCCACAGUGGAAUUGUUCAGAGACCUUUUCCAUCUAAACCGCCGUACUGAGUUUACUGAUGGCUCUAAUACGGAGUUGGGUGGCAUGGCGAUUCAGAAAAGGAAAGAGGUCACAUACCCUCACGCCAAGCUGCACAGCCACCCCAAAGAGUGGAAUCAGACAUGGUUCUACUGCAAAGACACCUCCCCUGCUGGUGAGAAUCCCUUGCCUGGCUUUCGUCCGGAGCGGCUCAGCAAUACACACCCUUUUCCUCAAAGAUUGACUGUCCAGGAGAGAAGCAAAUAUGCUCCCCUACUGUCAAAACUCAGAGCCUUUAUGGCCAACGGUUUAACAGGGGUUGAUCUCGCUCGCUGUUGGAUAUCAUGGAGCAUACUGCCCCUUAGUCAGCGCUCCGGUUUGAUGUGCGAGUAUACUGACAGUGUUGAUGACCCACUGCGACAUUCAAAAAUCCAGCUCUCCAAUGAAGAAAUCACAGAGGCUGUGAAUAAGAUGCUGAAUGAACCGGAACACGUCUGCGCUAGAACCGACCUGCUUCCCUUCUGUGCCACCAACAAACCGCCAGUUGUAAGACUUUGAUUUUUCUCUUUGCUGAAUCUGUUAUUGAUAUGUCUGGUCAUUGUUUAAUAUCAGUGUCUGUGUAAUCAGGGCAAUGAUCCAUUUUGGAGCAAAAAACUGUUGGGGAACGUAGCAGCAAUUCAAAAUUUUUCUACGUGUCACCAAGAUCUAUCUAUGGAGAAACCAUCAACGAGGGGAAGGAGAGUGCAUCUACAUACCCUUGUAGAUCGCUAAGCGGAAGCGUUCAAGAGAAUGGGGUUGAAGGAGUCGUACUCGUUGUGAUCCAAAUCACCGGAGAUCCUAGUGCCAAACGGAUGGCACCUCCGCGUUCAACACACGUACAGCCUGGUGACGUCUCCCAUGCCUUGAUCCAGCAAGGAGAGAGGGAGAGGUUGAGGAAGACUCCAUCCAGCAGCAGCACAACGGUGUGGUGGUGGUGGAGGAGCGUGGUACUCCAGCAGGGCUUCGCCAAGCACAGCAAGAGACGAGGAGGAGAGAGGUAGGGCUGCGCCAGGGAGAGAUCAAAUCAUGUGUGUUGCAGCCCCCUAACCUCAAGUAUAUAUAGGGGAAGGGGAGGGGCUGCGCCCCCAUCUAGGUUUCCCUCCCUAGGGGGGGCGGCAGCCCCCAAAACCCAUCUAGGGUGCGGCCAAGGGGGGAGAGAGGGGGGCGCACCUAGGGUGGGCCUUAAGGCCCAUCUAGACCUAGGGUUUGCCCCCUCCAACUCUCCCUGCGCCUUGGGCCUUGGUGGGGGGGCGCACCAGCCCACCUGGGGCUGGUCCCCUCCCACACUUGGCCCACGCAACCUUCUGGGGCUGGUGGCCCCACUGUUUGGACCCCCGGGACCCUCCCGGUGGUCCCGGUACGUUACCGAUAAAACCCGAAACUUUUCCGGUGACCAAAACAGGACUUCCCAUAUAUAAAUAUUUACCUCCGGACCAUUCCAAAACUCCUCGUGAUGUCCGGGAUCUCAUCCGGGACUCCGAACUACAUUCAGUAACCACGUAUAUCUAUUCCUUAUAACCCUAGCGUCAUCGAACCUUAAGUGUGUAGACCCUACGGGUUCGGGAACCAUGUAGACAUGACCGAGACGUUCUCCGGUCAAUAACCAACAGCGGGAUCUGGAUACCCAUGUUGGUUCCUACAUGUUCCACGAUGAUCUCAUCGGAUGAACCACGAUGUCGAGGAUUCGAUCAAUCCCGUAUACAAUUCCCUUCGUCUAGCGGUAUUGUACUUGCACGAGAUUCGAUUGUCGGUAUCCCGAUACCUUGUUCAAUCUCGUUACCGGCAAGUCUCUUUACUCGUUCCGUAACACAUCAUCCCGUGAUCAAUUCCUUGAUCACAUUGUGCACAUUAUGAUGAUGUCCUACCGAGUGGGCCCAGAGAUACCUCUCCGUCACAAGGAGUGACAAAUCCCAGUCUCGAUUCGUGCCAACCCAACAGACACUUUCAGAGAUACCUGUAGUGUACCUUUAUAGCCACCCGGUUACUUGUGGCGUUUGGCACACCCAAAGUAUUCCUACGGUAUCCGGGAGUUGCACAAUCUCAUGGUCUAAGGAAAUGAUACUUGACAUUAGAAAAGCUUUAGCAUGCGAACUACACAAUCUUGUGCUAUGCUUAGGAUUGGGUCUUGUCCAUCACAUCAUUCUCCUAAUGAUGUGAUCCCAUCAUCAACGACAUCCAAUGUCCAUGGUCAGGAAACCGUAACCAUCUAUUGAUCAACGAGCUAGUCAACUAGAGGCUUACUAGGGACAUGGUGUUGUCUAUGUAUCCACACAUGUAUCUGAGUUUCCUAUCAAUACAAUUCUAGCAUGGAUAAUAAACGAUUAUCAUGAACAAGGAAAUAUAAUAAUAAUCAAUUUAUUAUUGCCUCUAGGGCAUAUUUCCAACAGUCUCCCACUUGCACUAGAGUCAAUAAUCUAGUUCACAUCGCCAUGUGAUUAACACUCACAGGUCACAUCGCCAUGUGACCAACACAUCGCCAUGUGACCAACAUCCAAAGAGUUUAAACUAGUUCACAUCAUCAUGUGAUUAAGACUCAAUGAGUUCUGGGUUUGAUCAUGUUUUGCUUGUGAGAGAGGUUUUAGUCAACGGGUCUGCAACAUUCAGAUCCGUAUGUACUUCGCAAAUCUCUAGGUCAUAUUAUAAAUGUUGCUUCCACGCUCCACUUGGAGCUAUUCCAAAUGGUUGCUCCACUAUACGUAUCCGGUUUGCUACUCAGAGUCAUUCGGAUAGGUGUUAAAGCUUGCAUCGAUGUAACCCUUUACGCCGAACUCUUUAUCACCUCCAUAAUCGAGAAACAUGUCCUUAUUACUCCAAGGACAAUUUUGACCGCUAUAUAGUGAUCCACUCCUAGAUCACCUUUGUACCCUCUUGCCAGACAUGUGGCAAGGCACACAUCAGGUGCGGUACUCAGCAUGGCAUACUGUAUAGAGCCUAUGACAAAAGCAUAGGGGACGACAUUCGUCCUUUCUCUUUCUUCUGCCGUGGUCGAGCUUUAAGUCUUAACUUCAUACCUUACAACUCAGGCAAGAACUCCUUCUUUGACUGAUCCAUCUUGAACACCUUCAAGAUCAUGUCAAGGUAUGUGCUCAUUUGAAAGUACCAUUAAGUGUUUUGAUCUAUCAUUAUAGAUCUUGAUGCUCAAUGUUCAAGUAGCUUAAUCCAAGCUUUCCAUUGAAAAACACUUUCCAAAUAACCCUAUAUGCUUUCUAGAAAUUCUACGUCAUUUCUGAUCAACAAUAUGUCAACAACAUAUAUUCAUCAGAAAUUCUAUAGUGCCACCACUCACUUCUUUGGAAAUACAAGUUUCUCAUAAACUUUUUAUACACCCAAAAUCUUUGAUCAUCUCAUCAAAGCAUACAUUCCAACUCCGAGAUGCUUACUCCAGUCCUUAGAAGGAUUGCUGGAGCUUUGCAUACUUAUUAGCAUCUUUCAGGAUUGACAAAACCUUCCGGUUGUAUCACAUACAACCUUUCCUCAAGAAAAUCGUCGAGGAAACAAUGUUUUGACAUCCUAUCUGCAAGAUUUCAUAAAUAAUGCAGUAAUCGCUAAUAUAAUUCCAAUAGACUCUUAGCAUCGCUACGAGUGAGAAAGUCUCAUUGUAGUCAACUCCUUGAACUUGUCGGAAAACAUCUUAACGACAAGUCGAGCUUUCUUGAUGGUGAUGCAUACCAUAAUUGUCUGUCUUCCUUUUAAAAUCCAUCUGUACUCAAUAGCCUUACGAACAUCGAGCCGUUCUGCCAAAGUCUACACUUUGUUUUCAUACAUGGAUCCUCUCUCGGAUUUUAUGGCCUCGAGCCAUUUAUCAGAAUCUAGGCCCACCAUCGCUUCUCCAUAGCUCGUAGGUUCAUUGUUGUCUAGCAACAUGACUUCCAAGAUAGGAUUACGUACCACUUUGAAGUAGUACGCAUCCUUGUCAUCCUACGAGGUUUGGGAGUGACUUGAUCCGAAGUCUCAUGAUCAAUAUCAUAAGCUUCCACUUCAAUUGGUGUAGGUGCCACAGGAACAACUUCCUGUGCCCUGCCACACACUAGUUGAAGAGACGGUUCAGUAACCUCAUCAAGUCUCCACCAUCCUCCCACUCAAUUCUUUCGAGAGAAACUUUUCCUCGAGAAAGGACCCGAUUCUAGAAACAAUCCUUUAUUGCUUUCAGAUCUGAGACAGGAGGUAUACCCAACUGUUUUGGGUGUCCUAUGAAGAUGCAUUUAUCCGCUUUGGGUUCGAGCUUAUCAGCAUGAAACUUUUUCACAUAAGCGUCGCAGCCCCAAACUUUUAAGAAAUGACAGCUUAGAUUUCUCUAAACCAUAGUUCAUACGGUGUCAUCUCAUCGGAAUUACGUGGUGCCCUAUUUAAAGUAAAUGUGGUUGUCUCUAAUGCCUAACCCAUAAACUAUCGUGGUAAUUCGAUAAGAGACAUCAUGGUAUGCAUCAUAUCCAAUAGGGUGCAGUUAUGAUGUUCAGACACACCAUCACACUAUGGUGUUCCAGGCUGUAUUAGUUCUGAAACAAUUUCCACAAUGUCUUAAUUCUGUGCCAAACUCGUAAUUCAGAUAUUCGUCUCUAUGAUCAUAUCAUAGAUCUUUUAUCCUCUUGUCACGACGAUCUUUCAACUUCACCCUGAAAUUACUUGAACCUUUCAAUAAUUCAGACUCAUGAUUCAUCAAGUAAAUAUACUCAACACCUACUCAAAUCAUCUAUGAAGUAAGAACAUAAUGAUAUCCACUACAUGCCUCAGCACUCAUUGGACUGCACACAUCAAAAUGUAUUACUUCCAACAAGUUGCUUUCUAGUUCCAUUUUACUGAAAAUGAGGCUUUCAGUCAUCUUGCCCAUGUGGUAUGAUUUGCAUGUCUCAAGUGAUUCAAAAUCAAGUGAGUCCAAACGGUCCAUUUGCAUGGAGUUUCUUCAUGCAUAUAUACCAAUAGACAUGGUUCGCAUGUCUCAAACUUUUCAAAACGAGUGAGCCCAAAGAUCCAUCAACAUGGAGCUUCUUCAUGCGUUUUAUACCGAUAUGACUUACGUGGCAGUGCCACAAGUAGGUGGUACUAUCAUUACUAUCUUAUAUCUUUUGGCAUGAACAUGUGUAUCACUACGAUCGAGAUUCAAUAAACCAUUCAUUUUAGGUGCAAGACCAUUGAAGGUAUUAUUCAAAUAAACAGAGUAACCAUUAUUCUCCUUAAAUGAAUAACCGUAUUGCGAUAGUCAUAAUCCAAUCAUGUCUAUGCUCAACGCAAGCACCAAUCUCGUACGAUAUUUGAUCAACCUUGGAAAUACUUCCAACACAUAUCGUCAUCUCACCUUUCAGCUAGUCUCUGUUUAUUCCGUAGCCUUUUGUUUCAAGUUACUAACGCUUAGCAACCGAACCGGUAUCUAAUACCCUAGUGCUACUAGGAGUACUAGUAAAGUACACAUCAACACAAUGUAUAUGCAAUGUACUUCUAUCGACCUUGCCAGCCUUCUUAUCUACCAAGUAUCUAGGGUAAUUCUGCUCCAGUGGCUGUUCCCCUUAUUACAGAAGCACUUAGUCUCGGGUUUGGGUUCAACCUUGGGUUUCUUCACUAGAGCAGCAGUUGAUUUGCCGUUUCAUGAAGUAUCCCCUUUUGCCCUUGCCCUUCUUGAAACUAGUGGUUUCACCAACCAUCAACAAUUGAUGCUCCUUCUUGAGUUCUUCUUUUGUGGUGUCAAACAUCGCGAAUAUCUCAAGGAUCAUCAUAUAUGUCCCCGAUACAUUAUAGUUCAUCACGAAGCUCUAGCAGCUUGGUGGUAAUGACUUCGGAGAAACAUCACUAUCUCAUCUGGAAGAUCAACUCCCACUCGAUUCAAAUGAUUGUUGUACUCAGACAAUCUGAGCACAAGCUCAACAAUUGAGCUUUUCUCCUUAGUUUGCAGGCUAAGAAAAUCGUUGGAGGUCUCAUACCUCUUGAUGUGGGCACGAGCCUGAAAUCCCAAUUUCAGGCCUCGAAACCUCUCAUAUGUUUCGCGACGUUUCAAAACGUCUUCGGUGCCUCAACUCUAAACCGUUUAACUGAACUAUCACGUAGUUAUCAAAAUGUGUAUGUCAGAUGUUCGCAACAUCCAUAAACGACGUUCGAGGUUCAGCACACUGAGCGGUGCAUUAAGGACAUAAGCCUUCUAUGAAGCAAUGAGGACAAUCCUCAGUUUACGGACCUAGUCCGCAUAAUUGCUACUAUCAACUUUCAACUAAAUUUUCUCUAGGAACAUAUCUAAACAGUAGAAUUGAAGCGCGAGCUACGACAUAAUUUGCGAAGAUCUUUUGACUAUGUUCAGGAUAAUUAAGUUCAUCUUAUGAACUCCCACUCAGAUAGACAUCCCUCUAGUCAUCUAAGUGAUUACAUGAUCCGAGUCAACUAGGUCGUGUCCGAUCAUCACGUGAGACGGACUAGUCAUCAUCGGUGAACAUCUUCAUGUUGAUCGUAUCUACCAUACGACUCAUGCUCGACCUUUCGGUCUCUUGUGUUCCGAGGCCAUGUCUGUACAUGAUAGGCUCGUCAAGUCAACCUAAGUGUUUCGCGUGUGUAAAUCUGUCUUACACCCGUUGUAUGUGAACGUUAGAAUCUAUCACACCCGAUCAUCACGUGGUGCUUCGAAACAAUGAACUAUCGCAACGGUGCACAGUUAGGGGGAACACUUUCUUGAAAUUAUUAUGAGGGAUCAUAUUAUUUACUACCGUCGUUCUAAGUAAACAAGAUGCAAAAACAUGAUAAACAUCACAUGCAAUCAAAUAAUAGUGACAUGAUAUGGCCAAUAUCAUAUAGCUCCUUUGAUCUCCAUCUUGGGGCUCCAUGAUCAUCUUGUCACCGGCAUGACACCAUGAUCUCCAUCAUCAUGAUAUCCAUCAUCAUGUCUCUAUGAAGUUGCUCGCCAACUAUUACUUCUACUACUAUGGCUACCGGUUAGCAAUAAAGUAAAGUAAUUACAUGGCGUUAUUCAAUGACACGUAGGUCAUACAAUAAAUAAAGACAACUCCUAUGGCUCCUGCCGGUUGUCAUACUCAUCGACAUGCAAGUCGUGAUUCCUAUUACAAGAACAUGAUCAAUCUCAUACAUCACAUAUCAUUCAUCACAUUCUUCUUGGCCAUAUCACAUCACAUAGCAUACCCUGCAAAAACAAGUUAGACGUCCUCUAAUUUUUGUUUGCUUGUUUUACGUGGCUGCUAUGGGUUUCUAGCAAGAACUUAUCUUACCUACGCAAAACCACAACGUGAUAUGCCAAUUGCUAUUUACCCUUCACAAGGACCCUUUUCAUCGAAUCCGUUCCGACUAAAGUGGGAGAGACAGACACCCGCCAGCCACCUUAUGCAACUAGUGCAUGUCAGUCAGUGGAACCGGUCUCACGUAAGCGUACGUGUAAGGUUGGUCCGGGCCGCUUCAUCCCACAAUACCGUCGAAACAAGAUUGGACUAGUAACGGUAAGCAUAUUGAACAAAAUCAACGCCCACAACUACUUUGUGUUCUACUCGUGCAUAGAAUCUACGCAAUAGACCUAGCUAAUGAUGCCACUGCUGGGGAACAUAGCAGAAAUUCAAAAUUUUCCUACGUGUCACCAAGAUCUAUCUAUGGAGAAACCAGCAACGAGGGGAAGGAGAGUGCAUCUACAUACCCUUGUAGAUCGCUAAGCGGAAGCGUUCAAGAGAACGGGGUUGAAGGAGUCGUACUCAUUGUGAUCCAAAUCACCGGAGAUCCUAGUGCCGAACGGACGGCACCUCCGCGUUCAACACACGUACAACCCGGUGACGUCUCCCAUGCCUUGAUCCAGCAAGGAGUGAGGGAGAGGUUGAGGAAGACUCCAUCCAGCAGCAGCACAACGGUGUGGUGGUGGCGGAGGAGUGUGGUACUCCAGCAGGGCUUCGCCAAGCACCGCAAGAGACGAGGAGGAGAGAGGUAGGGCUGCGCCAGGGAGAGAUCAAAUCAUGUGUGUUGCAGCCCCCUAACCUCAAGUAUAUAUAGGGGAAGGGGAGGGGCUGCGCCCCCAUCUAGGGUUCCCUCCCUAGGGGGGCGGCAGCCCCCAAAACCCAUCUAGGGUGCGGCCAAGGGGGGAGAGAGGGGGGCGCACCUAGGGUGGGCCUUAAGGCCCAUCUAGACCUAGGGUUUGCCCCCUCCCACUCUCCCUGCGCCUUGGGACUUGGUGGGGGGCGCACCAGCCCACCUGGGGCUGGUCCCCUCCCACACUUGGCCCACGCAACCUUCUGGGGCUGCUGCCCCACUUGGUGGACCCCCAGGACCCUCCCGGUGGUCCCGGUACGUUACCGAUAAAACCCGAAACUUUUCCGGUGACCAAAACAGGACUUCCCAUAUAUAAAUCUUUACCUCCGGACCAUUCCGGAACUCCUCGUGAUGUUCGGGAUCUCAUCCGGGACUCCGAACAACAUUCGGUAACCACGUAUAUCUAUUCCUUAUAACCCUAGCGUCAUCGAACCUUAGGUGUGUAGACCCUACGGGUUCGGGAACCAUGUAGACAUGACCGAGACGUUCUCCGGUCAAUAACCAACAGCGGGAUCUGGAUACCCAUGUUGGUUCCUACAUGUUCCACGAUGAUCUCAUCGGAUGAACCACGAUGUCGAGGAUUCGAUCAAUCCCGUAUACAAUUCCCUUCGUCUAGCGGUAUUGUACUUGCCCGAGAUUCGAUCGUCGGUAUCCCGAUACCUUGUUCAAUCUCGUUACCGGCAAGUCUCUUUACUCGUUCCGUAACACAUCAUCCCGUGAUCAACUCCUUGAUCACAUUGUGCACAUUAUGAUGAUGUCCUACCGAGUGGGCCCAGAGAUACCUCUCCAUCACACGGAGUGACGAAUCCCAGUCUCGAUUCGUGCCAACCCAACAGACACUUUCGGAGAUACCUGUAGUGUACCUUUAUAGCCACCCAGUUACGUUGUGACGUUUGGCACACCCAAAGUAUUCCUACGGUAUCCGGGAGUUGCACAAUAUCAUGGUCUAAGGAAAUGAUACUUGACAUUAGAAAAGCUUUAGCAUGCGAACUACACGAUCUUGUGCUAUGCUGAGGAUUGGGUCUUGUCCAUCACAUCAUUCUCCUAAUGAUGUGAUCCCGUCAUCAACGACAUCCAGUGUCCAUGGUCAGGAAACUGUAACCAUCUAUUGAUCCAUGAGCUAGUCAACUAGAGGCUUACUAGGGACAUGGUGUUGUCUAUGUAUCCACACAUGUAUCUGAGUUUCCUAUCAAUAAAAUUCUAGCAUGGAUAAUAAACGAUUAUCAUGAACAAGGAAAUAUAAUAAUAAUCAAUUUAUUAUUGCCUCUAGGGCAUAUUUCCAAUAAAAACUACCGCAGGAGAAACUAGAGAAACCAGAAAAACCGGAAAGAGCAACUCGGCAAAAGACUAAAGCUGUGAAAAAGACUGCCCACGGGAAAAGAACCACGGCAUCUUCUAAUCCGGCCCCUGAUGAUGAUGUGGAUAAUCCGGACCUUGAGGUAGAGCUUGACUCACUUGGUUUAUUUUUCAUGUGUCUCAUUGAUGAUGAUAUUUGUCAGGAGGAUGCCGAAGCCAGCCACGCGGAUGCUGCAGAGGUAAUUAUUCUCUCUUCUGAUUCAAAACCUUUGGCUUCACAAAAAAUCCGUCAGGCAAACCGGAAAGUUAAAUUUUCUCAUCUUCUUGCUUAUUUGGAUCCUGAAUUUCUUAUGAAGACCCAACAACACGAAGCUCGUCGCACAACCCGGCACAGCGGCGAGGUAGUUACCCCUGUCGGUUUACCGAACAGUCCGGUUCGGAAACGCCAUUCAGAGGUCUCUAAUUUGCUUGUUAGUGCUUGUCCUAAAGCAGGCUGCUUUCGUCAACCUCUUAAUCCGUCUGACUCCGAUUACCAGAUUACUUCCCACUCAUCUUCUGGCGAGUCAUCGGCUACUCAGCUGCCACCGCUCAAAACGGUGCUUGGGUAAGCUAUACUUAUUGUGAUAUUUGCAGUACAUCGCCUUAGAACAGAUGCUGUAUUUGAUUUUGUUAUUCUUCUUAGGGCCAAACCUAGGCCAAGCAAGAAGGCCCGCCUGGACAAAGCGACCGAAGAAGAUGCCGUUCUUGAGCCAGGCAAGACACCCGAUCUUGAAGCGGCUAUUCCUGAGGAUAUACCCAACGAUCCACCGCAGCAAGAUGACGAUCUUAUUGCUGAAGAGAGACCUACUGAUGCCUCGGGUCCUGUCAAUCAGCUCACAGGCUCCAUCCGGAUUGAAAGCUCCACCGGUCCAGCGAAACCUACUGACAAGCCAAUAGCUCCAGUGCAAACCGGCGGUACCAAGGAUGAUGAGGUUGUCAUUACUGGCACUGGCCAUACUGAGCCAAGCAAUCCUGUCGCUUUAUCCAAACAUUCUGCCAAGGAAGAAUUUGCUGCCUUUGGCAAAGGCAAGUGGAACGCUGAUCUGACGACUUACGCUACUCUGAAUGCCCAAGAUAUCCAUUCCGGCUAUCUGAACCGGCUGUAUACCAGUCGCGACUAUGAAGUCGGUCUGGUUAAUAUGAUGAAAGAUAAAUAUGAGGUAACUUCCAUGUGCUCCUCCUGCUUGUAUGCUUCCAUUCUUGCUGACUCUCCUAGCCCCCAAGGGCCGGUUUGUAAUAUUCUUUCAAACCGGGACUUAAUAAUAUAAAUGUUGAUGCUUUGAAAUUCGCUGAUGUAGCCCCCAAGGGCCGGUUCGACUUAGCGUAGUUAAACUGGUACUUUAAGUAAUUGAAAUUGCCGCAUCAGAAUAUAUAUGAGCAAAUAGCCAUUAGCCCCCAAGUGCCAAGCUGAAUACUUGUAUUGAUCUUGGGACUUUGUAAGCAAUUGAAAGAUGAUGAUCGAAUAUGCAUUAGCCCCCAAGUGCUAAGUGCAUAACUUGUUAUGUGGUUGGUACUUGAAUCCUUAUACCGAUUUGUUGAAGCAUAUAUCUGUAUGCAUGCAGGUGGAGCUGAAGACGAAAGAAAACCAAGUCACCGAUCUCCAAGAAAACCUGAAAACCCAACAGGCUGAAACCUCCAAAGCAAAAGAGGAAUUGGCCAGCGCUUUAAGCGCCAUGAAACAGCUUAAGGAGAACUUCAAGAAGAAGCGGGCGGAUUGGACCACUGAAAAGUCCGCUUUGAUCAAACAAGCAGAGGAUGCCGAGGCUGCACUAAAACCAGUGGCAGAUGAACUGACCAGCAUAAAGCGGCACGUGCAUGCCAUGACUACUGCUAUCUUUGGUAAGCCAGUUUGCCUUCUGAAUUGGCUCUGCCUUCUUACAGAGUCACCGGUUUAUUAACCCUUUAUGGUAUUUCAGGGACACACAUUGGUCACUUGGGGUCAGAUGUGCGGAAGAAAUUGAAAGCCGCGUAUACAUUGGUUGAACAAUUGUAUACUGGUGCCCAGCGGAUCAUCUGUACCGCAUCUCAUAACAAACCGGCGCCCACUUUGAUUCAGGAUACUCUGAUGAAACUGUCAGUGCUUCCUGCCCGGGUUGAAGAGCUGAAGAAAUAUGAUGCUCAAACUGGUGCAAUCAAUGCCUUAAUCCGUGCAAAAGCCUGGGUGCCGGAUUUUGAUCCUAUUGAAGCGGCUCAGGGCUAUCCCAUCUUGAAGGAAGACGGGUCAGAAUUUGGUGAAGCGGAUCUGCGAGCAAUAAACCGGGAGGUACGCCCGCUAGCUUGUCAAUUGGCUGAAGAAGCAGACUUAUCUCAUUAUCAAGCCCAAUAUGACAGUCAGAACAAGCGAAUAGCUACACCAAUCCAUGAAUCGGAAAAUCUGAUUCCUCCAAUCCGUAAGCAUACUUACGCUCCUGAUAUUGACCCGUCAUUGCUGAUCCAUGAUGAAGCUAUUUUUCAAGCAUUAAUGGGAAUCGACUGGACAACUAUGGAUUUCCAGCCACUUGGUAGAGAAACGGAGGCUGAAGCGGCGCAGGAUGACCCACAACCAUCAGGCCAGGCUGGUGACCAAGCUUGAACCAGAAGCCGGUUUUAAAACUGCCUCUCCUUUGUGAAAAACAAUUAUAUUAUUAUGGGCACCAUGUUGCCUUGUAAUUGGCUAGCUGAUACUUUUGAUGUUGAUAUGCCUUCGCGCAUAAUUCGUUCUUCCUGUGGUGAUGAACUUUCCAAAGCACUUUCUCAAAUGAGAAAUUCGUCAAGUGCCACCGCGGUUGUACCGUCAGGCGGAAUAUGAUGUCUGCAUAUAUGAAAUCAAAACAUCCAAAACAAAAUUUUAAGUAUAUGAUCAAAUUUUUGAGAUACAUAAUACCUGCCAUCGUUGAGCGUGAAGUUGGCUUGGCCAAUCUUGAAGCGGAGUUUUGCAAACCCACACUAUUGAGGAGAUAACAGCUCAUGUAUAUAUAUGACUCUGGUUUACCAUGUAAACCGUGCCGGGUUAUAAUAAACAUCGUGUUACUCCAUAAAAGGAUGUUAACAGCAAGAAUCAAACCGGGCAAAUAGUCUCCGGAUUGACGUGGACUGUGUUCCGUCAAUUGAUUGGUUAAAAAACUUUGUUGGUGUAAAAAACGCAAUAAAAAGCAAAAAAAACCUUCAAAGAAAAGUGUGAAGCAAAAGCAAUGACAAAACUGUUUGCCAAAAAAGGUUUAUUUGAGCUGAUCAAAUGGCGUCACCAUGGUCAAACACGACCAAGCUCCCGUUAUGUGUAACUAUGGUUCUACUCAGCCAGGUCCCCAAAUGAAACCGUGGCAUUUAUGCCGACCAAAUGGCAUGGUCAUGGUUCGGGUUCGACCAAGCCGCCAAGUGAUUCUGUGGCCUUAGGCCGAUCAAGAGGCAUGACUGGUUCAGACAUGACCAAGUCCCCAAGUGAUCUGGUGGCUCUCGCCUAUCAAGAGGCAUGGUAUUGGUUCAGACACGACCAAUCCUCCAAGUGAUAUAACACGAUGCUUUUAGCAAAGCGAACUCAAGGGGUAAACCGGAAGCCGCUUUAGAACAACUCCGUGUAACCACACAUGAUGCAAAAGAACAGAUACCCCGCUUUAGCAGAGGUUCUGGUUUAUUAUAGUUAAUAUAUACAUCAUUGUAAUAUGUACAUAAGUAGAACCAAUGGCUCAGGUAUAAUAAGGCCGAAGAUGAGCUAUGUUCCAUGGCCUGUUGGUCUCCUCCUCUGAUGUACGUUAGUCCUUAUGUUCUCGAAUAUCGAUCAGAUAGUAUGACUCGUUGUGCAGAUUCUUGCUGACCACGAAAGGCCCCUCCCAAGGUGGGGAUAACUUAUGCAUAUCAGUCUGAUCUUGGAUGAGCCGAAGCACCAAAUCUCCUUCCUCAAAGGUUCUGGUUCUGACUCGGCGACUGUGAUAACGACGAAGAUCCUGCUGGUAAAUCGCCGAUCGGACGGCUGCGAUGUCACGCUCUUCAUCCAACUGGUCCAAAGCAUCUUGCCGUGCUGUCUCGUUGUCUGCUUCAAUAUAAGUCGUGACACGAGGUGAAUCAUGACGAAUAUCACUAAGGAGAACCGCCUCCGCUCCAUAAACCAUGAAGAACGGUGUGUAUCCUGUUGAUCUGUUGGGUGUUGUAUUGAUGCUCCAUAACACAGAUGGUAAUUCUUCUACCCAACAACCCGGCGUUCUCGGCAAAGGAACCAUGAGCCGGGGCUUCAUGCCUCUCAAGAUCUCUUGAUUAGCUCUUUCUGCUUGACCAUUGGACUAUGGAUGUGCCACUGAUGAAACGUCGAGCCGGAUGUGCUCCCGUUCGCAGAACUCCUUCAUAGCACCUUUGGACAAAUUGGUACCAUUAUCUGUGAUAAUACUGUGCGGAAAACCAAACAGGAAAAUCACCUUUUUGAUAAACUGAACCGCCGUGGCCGCAUCACACUUGCUAACAGGUUCUGCCUCCACCCACUUUGUAAACUUGUCAACCGCCACCAGGAGGUGGGUCUUCUUAUCUUUGGACCUUUUGAAAGGCCCAACCAUAUCCAGCCCCCAAGUCGCAAAUAGCCAAGUAAUUGGAAUCAUUCUCAAUUCUUGAGCCGGUACAUGAGCACGUCUUGAAAACCUCUGGCAACCAUCACAUCGUCUGACCAGAUCCUCCGCAUCAGCAUGAGCAGUUAACCAAUAGAAGCCAUGGCGAAACGCUUUAGCCACCAGAGACUUUGAACCGGCGUGGUGACAACAAUCUCCUUCGUGGAUCUCACGUAAAAUUUCACAGCCUUCUUCAGGGGACACGCAGCAUUGAAAAGCUCCUAAUACACUGCAAUGAUGCAACUCGCCGUUGAUGAUAGCCAUGGACUUGGAUCGCCGGAUUAUCUGCCGGGCCAGAAUCUCAUCCUCUGGCAACUCGCCUCGGUUCUUGUACGCCAGGUAAGGAAGCGUCCAAUCCGGAAUAACAUGAAGAGCCGCCACCAAUUGAGCCUCCGGAUUAGAAUAGCCAAAUCCUCUUCACCAGGGAUCUUGACCGACGGGUUGUGCAGCACAUCCAGAAAAACAUUGGGCGGGACCAGUUUGCGCUGAGAGCCCAGCCGGCUUAAAGCGUCCGCCGCUUCAUUUUUCCGCCGGUCCACGUGGUCCACCUGAUAGCCUUUGAAAUAACCUGCAACGGUAUCCACCUCACGUCGAUAUGCUGCCAUGAGUGGGUCCUUGGAGUCCCAAGUGCCAGACACUUGCUGAGCCACAAGGUUCGAGUCACCGAAGCACUUAACUCGACUUAGAUUCAUCUCCUUAGCCAUCCGGAGACCAUGGAGCAAGGCUUCAUACUCAGCUGCAUUGUUAGUACAAGGGAACAUUAAGCAGAGAACAUAACAAAACUUAUCACCUCGUGGGGAAGUUAAUACGACUCUAGCCCCCGAGCCUUCCAGUUGCCUGGAUCCGUCAAAAUGGAUGGUCCAAUAUGUGUGAUCCGGCUUUUCUUCAGGUGCUUGCAUUUCCGUCCAAUCAUUGAUGAAAUCAACAAGUGCUUGAGACUUAACCGCUGUCCGAGGCACACACUUCAAACCGUACGGCCCCAGCUCUAUGGCCCACUUGGCAAUCUGGCCAGUUGCUUCCCGGUUCUGGAUGAUAUCUCCCAAAGGAGCAGAACUGACCACCGUAAUUGGGUGCCCUUGGAAAUAUUGUUUAAGCUUCCGGCUUGCCAUAAAAACUCCAUACACCAGCUUCUGCCAAUGCGGAUACCUUUGCUUGGACUCGAUCAGCACCUCGCUGAUAUAAUAGACCGGUCGUUGAACCGGAUGCUCCUUGCCUGCCUCCUCUCGCUCCACCACAAUAGCCACGCUGACCGCCCGAGCAUUAGCAGCAACAUAUAGCAGUAACGGCUCCUUGUCAAUGGGAGCGGCGAGCACAGGUGGAUUGGCCAACUGCCGCUUUAAGUCCUCAAAUGCUUCAUUAGAGGCGGAGCUCCAAACAAACUAAUCCGUUUUUUUCAACAUCUGAUACAAAGGGAUUGCCUUCUCACCAAGACGACUGAUAAACCGGCUUAACGCGGCAAUCCGGCCUGCCAGGCGUUGAACAUCGUUGAUACACUUCGAUUUAGCCAGGGAGGUGAUAGCCGUGAUCUUCUCCGGAUUAGCCUUAAUUCCCCUGUUGGACACCAGAAAACCCAAUAGCUUGCCCGCCAGUACACCAAAGAUACACUUGUCCGGAUUAAGCAUCAUCUUGUAUGUUCUCAGGUUAUCAAAGGUCUCCUUCAAAUCAUCAAUCAGAGUCUCCUUCUCCCUAGACUUAACCACGAUAUCAUCCACGUAAGCAUGUACAUUAUGGCCAAUCUACUUGUGAAGACAAUUUUGUACACACCGUUGGUAAGUUGCUUGGGCACUCUUGAGCCCGAAGGGCAUAGACACAUAGCAGAAGGCUCCAAAGGGAGUUAUAAAUGCCAUCUUCUCCUGGUCCUUAACUGCCAUUUUGAUCUGAUGAUAGCCAGAAUACGCAUCCAAAAAACUUAAACGCUCACAACCCGCCGUAGCAUCAAUAAUUUGAUCAAUACGGGGGAGGGCAAAAGGAUCUGCUGGACAAGCCUUAUUAAGAUCUGUGUAAUCCACACACAUGCGCCAGGUGCCAUUUUUCUUGAGGACCAACACCGGAUUGGCAAGCCACUCAGGGUGAAAAACUUCAACAAUAAAGCCAGCUGCUAAGAGCCUGGCUACCUCUUCUCCAAUCGCCUUGCGUCUUUCUUCGUUAAACCAGCGGAGGAACUGUUUCACCAGUUUAUAUUUAGGAUCCACAUUAAGUGUGUGCUCAGCGAGUUACCUCGGUACACCUGGCAUGCCAGAGGGCUUCCAUGCAAAAAUGUCCCGAUUCUCAUGGAUGAACUCGAUGAGCGCGCUUUGCUAUUUCGGAUCCAAGUUGGCACUGAUGCUGAACUGCUUGGACGAAUAGCCAGGUACGAAUUCAACAAGCUUAGUUUCUGCUGCCGAUUUGAACUUCGGGGCCGGAUCAUGCUCCGUAGUUGGCUUCUUCGACGGAGUCAUGUCCGCCGGAUCAACAUUGUCUUUAUAGUACUUCAACUCCUGGGUGGCACAAACCGACUCUGCAUAAGCCGCAUCUCCUUCCUCGCAUUCCAAAGCGAUUUUGCGGCUUCCAUGAAACGUUAUUGUCCCCCUGUGACCCGGCAUCUUGAGCUGUAAAUACACAUAACAGGGCCGUGCCAUAAACUUGGCAUAAGCCGGUCGCCCAAACAGGGUGUGAUAUGGACUCUGGAUUUUCACCACUUCAAACGUCAAUGUCUCCGACCUAGAAUCAUGGUCAUCCCCAAAGGCCACUUCCAGAGCUAUCUUGCCAACAGGAUAUGCUGAUCUGCCAGGUACUACACCGUGAAACACCGUAUUAGACGGUUUAAGAUUUUUAUCUGUCAGUCCCAUACGACGGAAGGUCUCAUAGUACAAGAUAUUAAUGCUGCUACCUCCAUCCAUGAGCACCUUGGUGAACUUAUAACCUCCCACCUGAGGCGCCACCACCAGAGCCAACUGACCCGGAUUAUCGACCUGGGGUGAGUGAUCCUCUCUGCUCCAUAUGAUUGGCUCUUCAGACCAACGUAGAUAACGGGGUAUGGCCGGUUCAACAGAGUUGACCACCCGCCUCUGAACCUUCCGGUCUCGCUUGUCCAAGCUAGUGAUGAAGACAUGGUACUGCCCACUACUCAACUGCUUUGGGUUGCUCUGGUAACCUGACUGUUGCUGCUGUUGGUUGUAACCACCCUGGUUGUUCUGACUAUUUUGACCAUUAUGUCCGCCCGGAUUACCAUUGAAUCCUGAACCGGAACUUCCUCCACCGUAUCCCGGCCCGGAUCCUGAGCCACCGCCUGAUUCGUGAUCAUACCGGAAAUUAUUAGAAUUCUUGAACUCCUGCAUAAUAAAGCAAUCCUUCCAAAGGUGGUUUGUUGGCGCCUCCUUCGUCCCAUGUCUUGGGCAGGGCUGGCUUAGCAGAUAGUUUAGGCGGUUUGGGUUAGGGUUGGGUGCUCCAUUAUGAUUUUUCGGUCUACCCUUGCGCCGCUGGCCAUUGUCCUGUGCGUUGGUAUUAGCCACAAAGUCCAUGUUACCAUCCGCUUUACGCUUGCCUCCAUCACCAUUGCCUGCCCAGUGAUGUUGCUGACCUUUGGAGCUGCUGUUCUUCUUCCCUUUCCCUGUCUUGUCAUCAUCAGAUUCGGGAUCCUUGGUACUAUCAAAAUCAGCAUAUUUCACCAAAGCGGCCAUGAGGGUCCCCAUGUCAGUGCAAUGACGCUUCAUCCGUCCCAAUUUUAGCUUCAGGGGCCCAAACCGGCAGUUGCCUUCUAGGGUUAAUACUGUGGUGUCAGCGUUGAUGCGGUCUGAGGAGUGCAACACUUGUGAAACCCGGCGCACCCAAUGAGUCGUUGAUUCUCCUUGCUCCUGGACGCAUGCAGCUAAGUCCACUAUCGACAUAGGAUAUUUAUAGGUAUCCUUGAAAUUUCUUAUAAACCGGGCUCGUAAUUGGGCCCAUGAACUGAUAGAAUUAGCCGGCAAGCUUUUUAACCAAGUACGGGCCGUUCCUUCAAGCAUCAUGGUGAAGUAUUUCGCACACGCCGCGUCAUCCACAUCAAGCAUCUCCAUGGCCAUCUCAUAGCUCUCCACCCAUGUCUCUGGAGGUUGAUCCGUCGUGUAAUUUGGUACCUUGCGCGGGCCUUUGAAAUCCUUGGGCAGGCGCACGUUGCGUAAAGCGGGGAUAAGGCAAGGCACCCCCAAAGAACUAGAAGUAACACCAAGUUCAGUCGAGGUGGUUGGAUGAACCGGCGUGUGCUACCGAGCCUGAUGCUGUGUGGCUAACUCGGCCUCCCUGCGCGCGCAGGCCCGGUCCACCACUCCCUGAGCGUUAUCAGCACCACCCGCCGGGUGUUGUCACGGGGUGCCCCACGUCGUUCAUUACUCGACACUGCUGGUUCAUCCAUAUGUCUGCUAUAGCUCCGGCUUGGACGGGGGGUCGAGUGGAUCCGGUCGCGGCUGUACGAGUACGCUUCCUGUUGGGCCAAAGCUGUCCUCAGAAGUUCCUUGACCCAUCGCGUCUCUACUGCCUGCGGCGAGUCACCUUCAAUUGGAAUGGCCUCCAGCGGUGCAGCCACGGCAACAAGAUUGUCCAUUGGGUUGGAGUAGUGACCCGGAGGUGUUAAAGCAUCCUGAGGUAUAAUGGUGUUUUGACGAGGCGGAUCCAUCUGACGAGGCUGAACCGGUGCACCGGUCCCAGGGGCUUCUGCCCGGUUAACCUCCAGCAGAUUGCCGGCUCUUGGUCCUGGAGUGUUGAAAAGGUCUCUGGCCUCGAAAACCGGAGGUAAGCGGGAUCGGUCCUUCCUCCUCAUGACUUCAUGCGACGCGCUCUGUUCCAUAAUAAGCCUGUAGGCCUGUGCGUCUAAAGCGGCCAGCUCUGCGGCCAUCCUGGUGUCCUCAGCCGCCAGAUCCGCCUUGGACUGGGUGAUCUGUUCCUUUACCUUUGCAAUCUCCGCGUUGUGAACGUCCUGAUCCGGCAGAUUAACUUCCGCCAUAAGCACAGCCAACGCAUCAAAUAGUUCUGAUAGAACCUGAGCCGGCAGGCGCACAGGGCCUCCUGCCCCGGCAGACGUUGCCGCUGCUGAACCAGAGGUCGUUGCCGCAACGGUCGAAGAAUGAAGCGCUGCUUGUGUGCCAGUCAUGAAUAUUCCAACCCGGUUGGGCAGAUCAGAGGGGUCCGGAAUACUGUCGCCAUCGGAACAGCCCCCAAUCCGGCCAUCUUGUAGUUGAUAAAGAGAUUCGGUUUCUCCGGUUGAUGACUCGUCAUCGGAACAAACGACGGCAUCGCCGCGAGAUUCCGAUCCAUCCUCAUAACUUCCUCCAUGGAUGACUCCCACAAAGGCACGCUUCAUGGCCGGUUUAACCCGGGCGGAUCGCGCACGCUGAGCCGUCUCGAUGAGGUCGGUGCAGAUGUUCGGCUUAGGGCCCGGUUCACCGAUCUUGCCAAUGAAAACGUGAAUGCUACCAAAGGGGACCUGGUACCCAUACUCAAUUGAGCCGGCCUCGGGGCCCCAGCUUGCGUCGUCGAUGUAGAGCUUGCCGCGACGACUCUUAGUCAUCCGGCGCACAGCGUAGCCCUCGAGUCCUUCAAAGCGGCCCUCCAAGAACUGGAAACCAUCGUGCGAUAGCCCCAUGGUGGGCGCCAACUGUCGUGGUUUUGUCACGGCAGAUGUCCUAGAGAAAGGACUUAGUCGUGGAGCCAUCGCGACGGGUUAGCUUGAAGGGGUUAAAGCGGACACAGGGACGCAAGAGAGUUUAUACUGGUUCGGCCCCUUCAAUGAAGGUAAAAGCCUGCGUCUAGUUGUGAUGGAAUUGAUGGGGUUUCGAUGACUAGGGAGCAAACAAGCUUCGCCUAUGUCUCGAGUUGUUCUCUGUUCUCCUUAAACCGCCGCCGGGUCGUCCCCUUAUAUACACGGGUGACACCCGUCGGUUCAGAGUCCCAACACCGGUCGAUAUUCGUAUCCGGGUUGGUCUCUCCUUAUUCCUAACUUACAAUACAAGCUUACAUACAACUUCUAGUUUACAACUACAAGUCUUGAACCGGCUACGGGCCUUAGGCCCUCAUCUUCCUUCUUGGGCUUUAUCACAUCUGGAACUACUGAUGAAGUUGACCCGUCCCAGAUAGGCCGGUUUACGCCCAGCAGUAAUAUCCUCAACAGCCCUCCUUAAUGACCCUCUCCUUGAACGAAGAGCUACCUCCCCCUUGAGCUUCCACCACUUCGUUCUAGCGACUUUGGCACGCUUAUCCCGCUGGACACGAAUCCGAAAGCGGAAGUCAGCAACCACCUGCUUAUGCUGGGGUACAACACUCUCUCCAGGUAUCACCUUAUAGUCUAGGCACGCACGCCUAUCAUCUCUUCUCGACAGGAUGAAAUCAAUCUGGCUAGAGUGUUGGCCACUACUAAAAGUCACCAGAUGUGAUUCUCUCUUUCUAAAGAGGGUGUUAGCUACAAUCAUGUUGUAGGCUAGAGCAAAGCUUAAGACAUCUUCUCCUUCUUGAUUCCUGAUGCCAUAGCCAAAGCCCCCGUGCACCCCUUCAAAACUUGUGUUAGAUGUACCCAUGUGGCCAUUGAGGUCUCCUCCUAUGGAGAGCUUAUCACCAAUCGGUACACUCCUAACCAUGUCUUCCAGGCCUUCCCAGAACUCCCUCUUGGUGUUCUCAUUGUGGCCUACUUGCAGGGCAUACGCGCUAAUAACAUUGAGAACCAAGUCCUCAACUACCAGCUUGACCGGGAUAAUCCGGUCCCCACGUCUCUUGACGUCUACCACUCCAUACUUGAGGCUCUUGUUGAUCAAGAUGCCUAUGCCAUUUCUGUUUGCAGCCGUCCCUGUGUACCACAGCUUGAAGCCGGUGUUGGAAAUAUGCCCUAGAGGCAAUAAUAAAUUGGUUAUUAUUUUAUUUCCUUGUUCAUGAUAAUCGUUUAUUAUCCAUGCUAGAAUUGUAUUGAUAGGAAACUCAGAUACAUGUGUGGAUACAUAGACAACACCAUGUCCCUAGUAAGCCUCUAGUUGACUAGCUCGUUGAUCAAUAGAUGGUUAUGGUUUCCUGACCAUGGACAUUGGAUGUCGUUGAUAACGGGAUCACAUCAUUAGGAGAAUGAUGUGAUGGACAAGACCCAAUCCUAAGCAUAGCACAAGAUCGUGUAGUUCGCAUGCUAAAGCUUUUCUAAUGUCAAGUAUCAUUUCCUUAGACCAUGAGAUUGUGCAACUCCCGGAUACCGUAGGAAUACUUUGGGUGUGCCAAACAUCACAACGUAACUGGGUGGCUAUAAAGGUGCACUACGGGUAUCUCCGAAAGUGUCUGUUGGGUUGGCACGAAUCGAGACUGGGAUUUGUCACUCCGUGUGACGGAGAGGUAUCUCUGGGCCCACUCAGUAGGACAUCAUCAUAAUGUGCACAAUGUGAUCAAGGAGUUGAUCAUGGGAUGAUGUGUUACGGAACGAGUAAAGAGACUUGCCGGUAACGAGAUUGAACAAGGUAUCGGGAUACCGACGAUCGAAUCUCGGGCAAGUACAAUACCGCUAGACAAAGGGAAUUAUAUACGGGAUUGAUCGAAUCCUCGACAUCGUGGUUCAUCUGAUGAGAUCAUCGUGGAACAUGUGGGAACCAACAUGGGUAUCUAGAUCCCGCUGUUGGUUAUUGACCGGAGAACGUCUCGGUCAUGUCUGCAUGGUUCCCGAACCCGUAGGGUCUACACACUUAAGGUUCGAUGACGCUAGGGUUAUAAAGGAAGUUUGUAUGUGGUUACCGAAUGUUGUUCGGAGUCCCGGAUGAGAUCCCGGACGUCACGAGGAGUUCUGGAAUGGUCCGGAGGUAAACAUUUAUAUAUGGGAAGUCUUGUUUUAGUCACCGGAAAAGUUUCGGGGUUUAUCGGUAACGUACCGGGACCACGGGAGGGUCCCGGGGGUCCACCAAGUGGGGCCAAAAGCCCCGGAGGGCUGCUUGGGCCAAGUGUGGGAGGGGACCAGCCCCAGGUGGGCUGGUGCGCCCCCCCCCCCCCCACAAGGGCCCAAGGCGCCUAAGGGGAGGAGGGGGGCAAACCCUAAGGGCAGAUGGGCCUUAGGGCCCAUGCCUGGUGCGCCUCCCUCUCCCCCUCCACCUGGCCGCCACCCAGAUGGGAUCUGGGGGCUGCCGCCACCCCUAGGGAGGGAACCCUAGGUGGGGGCGCAGCCCCUCCCCUCCCCCUAUAUAUACUUGAGGUUUGGGCUGCCCAAGACACACGAGUUCCUCUCCUUCUUGGCGCAGCCCUACCCCUCUCCCUCCUCGUCUCUUGCAGUGCUUGGCGAAGCCCUGCUGGAGUACCAUGCUCCUCCACCACCACCACGCUGUUGUGCUGCUGCUGGAUGGAGUCUUCCUCAACCUCUCCCUCUCUUCUUGCUGGAUCAAGGCAUGGGAGACGUCACCGGGCUGUACGUGUGUUGGACGCGGAGGUGUCGUCCGUUCGGCACUAGGAUCUCCGGUGAUUUGGAUCACGACGAGUACGACUCCUUCAACCCCGUUCUCUUGAACGCUUCCGCUUAGCGAUCUACAAGGGUAUGUAGAUGCACUCUCCUUCCCCUCGUUGCUGGUUUCUCCAUAGAUAGAUCUUGGUGACACAUAGGAAAAUUUUGAAUUUCUGCUACGUUACCCAACAGUGGCAUCAUGAGCUAGGUCUAUUGCGUAGAUUCUAUGCACGAGUAGAACACAAAGUAGUUGUGGGCGUUGAUUUUGUUCAAUAUGCUUACCGUUACUAGUCCAAUCUUGUUUCGACGGUAUUGUGGGAUGAAGCGGCCUAGACCGACCUUACACGUACUCUUACGUGAGACUGGUUCCACCGACUGACAUGCACUAGUUGCAUAAGGUGGCUAGCGGGUGUCUGUCUCUCCCACUUUAGUCGGAACGGAUUCGAUGAAAAGGGUCCUUAUGAAGGGUAAAUAGCAAUUGGCAUAUCACGUUGUGGUUUUGCGUAGGUAAGAAACAUUCUUGCUAGAAACCCAUAGCAGCCACGUAAAACAUGCAAACAACAAUUAGAGGACGUCUAACUUGUUUUUGCAGGGUAUGCCAUGUGAUGUGAUAUGGCCAAAAAGGAUGUGAUGAAUGAUAUAUGUGAUGUAUGAGAUUGAUCAUGUUCUUGUAAUAGGAAUCACGACUUGCAUGUCGAUGAGUAUGACAACCGGCAGGAGCCAUUGGAGUUGUCUUAAUUUAUUUAUGACCUGUGUGUCAACAUAAACGUCAUGUAAUUACUUUACUUUAUUGCUAACCGUUAGCUGUAGUAGUAGAAGUAAUAGUUGGCGAGACAACUUCAUGAAGACACGAUGAUAGAGAUCAUGAUGAUGGAGAUCAUGGUGUCAUGCCGGUGAAGAUGAUGAUCAUGGAGCCCCGAAGAUGGAGAUCAAAAGGAGCAAAGUGAUGAUGGCCAUAUCAUGUCACUAUUUGAUUGCAUGUGAUGUUUAUCAUGUUUAUGCAUCUUAUUUGCUUAGAACAACGGUAGUAAAUAAGAUGAUCCCUCAUUAAAAUUUCAAGAAAGUGUUCCCCCUAACUGUGCACCGUUGCGAAAGUUCGUCGUUUCAAAGCACCACGUGAUGAUCGGGUGUGAUAGAUUCCAACGUUCACAUACGACGGGUGUAAGACAGAUUUACACAUGCAAACACUUAGGUUGACUUGACGAGCCUAGCAUGUACAGACAUGGCCUCGGAACACAUAAGACCGAAAGGUCGAACAUGAGUCAUAUAGAAGAUACGAUCAACAUGAAGAUGUUCACCGAUGUUGACUAGUCCGUCUCAUGUGAUGAUCGGACACGGCCUAGUUGACUCGGAUCAUGUAAUCACUUAGAUGACUAGAGGGAUGUCUAUCUGAGUGGGAGUUCAUAAGAUGAACUUAAUUAUCCUGAACAUAGUCAAAAGGUCUUCGCAAAUUAUGUCGUAGCUCGCGCUUCAGUUCUACUGUUUAAAUAUGUUCCUAGAGAAAAUUUAGUUGAAAGUUGAUAGUAGCAAUUACGCGGACUAGGUCCGUAAACUGAGGAUUGUCCUCAUUGCUUCAUAGAAGGCUUAUGUCCUUAAUGCACCGCUCAGUGUGCUGAACCUCGAACGUUGUCUGUGGAUGUUGCGAACAUCUGACAUACACAUUUUGAUAACUACGUGAUAGUUCAGUUAAACGGCUUAGAGUUGAGGCACCGAAGACGUUUUGAAACGUCGCGAAACAUAUGAGAUGUUUCGAGGGCUGAAAUUGGAUUUCAGGCUCGUGCCCACGUCAAGAGGUAUAAGACCUCCGACGAUUUUCUUAGCCUGCAAACUAAGGGAGAAAAGCUCAAUUGUUGAGCUUGUGCUCAGAUUGUCUAAGUACAACAAUCAUUUGAAUCGAGUGGGAGUUGAUCUUCCAGAUGAGAUAGUGAUAUUUCUCCGAAGUCAUUACCACCAAGCUGCUAGAGCUUCAUGAUGAACUAUAAUAUAUCGAGGACAUAUAUGAUGAUCCUUGAGAUAUUCGCGAUGUUUGACACCACAAAAGUAGAAAUCAAGAAGGAGCAUCAAUUGUUGAUGGUUGGUGAAACCACUAGUUUUAAGAAGGGCAAGGGCAAGAAGGGAUACUUCAUGAAACGGCAAAUCAGCUGCUGCUCUAGUGAAGAAACCCAAGGUUGAACCCAAACCCGAGACUAAGUGCUUCUGUAAUAAGGGGAACAGCCACUGGAGCAGAAUUACCCUAGAUACUUGGUAGAUAAGAAGGCUGGCAAGGUCGAUAGAAGUAUAUUGGAUAUACAUUGUGUUGAUGUGUACUUUACUAGUACUCCUAGUAGCACCAUGGUAUUAGAUACCGGUUCGGUUGCUAAGUGUUAGUAAACUCGAAAUAAAAGGCUACGGAGUAAACGGAGACUAGCUAAAGGUGAGCUGGAGAUAUGUGUUGGAAGUUUUUCCCAAGCUUGAUGUGAUCAAGCAUCGCACGCUCCCUCUACCAUCGAGAUUGGUGUUUGCAUUGAGCAUAGACAUGAUUGGAUUAUGUCUAUCGCAAUAUGGUUAUUCAUUUAAGGAGAAUAAUGGUUACUCUGUUUAUUUGAAUAAUACCUUCAAUGGUCUUGCACCUAAAAUGAAUGGUUUAUUGAAUCUCGAUUGUAGUGAUACACAUGUUCAUGCCAAAAGAUAUAAGAUAGUAAUGAUAGUACCACCUACUUGUGGCACUGCCACGUAAGUCAUAUCGGUAUAAAACGCAAGAAGAAGCUCCAUGUUGAUGGAUCUUUGGGCUCACUCGUUUUUUGAAAAGUUUGAGACAUGCGAACCAUGUCUAUUGGUGUAUAUGCAUGAAGAAACUCCAUGCAAAUGGACCGUUUGGACUCACUUGAUUUUGAAUCACUUGAGACAUGCAAAUCAUACCACAUGGGCAAGAUGACUGAAAGCCUCGUUUUCAGUAAAAUGGAACUAGAAAGCAACUUGUUGGAAGUAAUACAUUUUGAUGUGUGCAGUCCAAUGAGUGCUGAGACGUGUAGUGGAUAUCAUUAUGUUCUUACUUCAUAGAUGAUUUGAGUAGAUGUUGAGUAUAUUUACUUGAUGAAUCACGAGUCUGAAUUAUUGAAAGGUUCAAGUAAUUUCAGGGUGAAGGUGAGAGAUCAUCAUGACAAGAGGAUAAAAUGUCUAUGAUAUGAUCAUAGAGAUGAAUAUCGGAAUUACGAGUUUGGCACAGAAUUAAGACAUUGUGGAAAUUGUUUCACAACUAAUACAGCCUGGAACACCAUAGUGUGAUGGUGUGUCCGAACCUCAUAACUGCACCCUAUUGGAUAUGAUGCAUACCAUGAUGGCUCUUAUCGAAUUACCACAAUAGUUUGUGGGUUAGGCAUUAGAGACAACCACAUUCACUUUAAAUAGGGCAUCACGUAAUUUCGAUGAGAUGACACCGUAUGAACUAUGGUUUAGAGAAACCUAAGCUGUCAUUUCUUAAAAGUUUGGGGCUGCAAUGCUUAUGUGAAAAAGUUUCAAGCUGAUAAGCUCGAACCCAAAGCGGAUAAAUGCAUCUUCAUAGGACACCCAAAAAUAGUUGUAUACCUCCUGUCUCAGAUCCAAAAGCAAUAAGGGAUUGUUUCUAGAAUCGGGUCCUUUCUCGAGGAAAAGUUUCUCUCGAAAGAAUUGAGUGGGAAGAUGUUGGAGACUUGAUGAGGUUAUUGAACCGUCUCUUCAACUAGUGUGUGGCAGGGCAUAGGGAGUUGUUCCUAUGGCACCUACACCAAUUGAAGUAGAAGCUUAUGAUAGUGAUCAUGAAACUUCAGAUCAAGUCACUACCAAACCUCGUGGGAUGACAAGGAUGCGUACUACUUCAGAGUGGUACGUAAUCCUGUCUUGGAAGUCAUGUUGCUAGACAACAAUGAACCUACGAGCUAUGGAGAAGCGAUGGUGGGCCUGAAUUCCGACAAAUGGUUAGAAGCCAUGAAAUCCGAGAUAGGAUCCAUGUAUCAGAACAAAGCAUGGACUUUGGUGGACUUGCCCAAUGAUCGGCAAGCCAUUGAGAUAAAUGGAUCUUUAAGAAGAAGACGGACAUAGAUGGUAAUGUCACCGUCUAUGAAGCUCGACUUGUGGAGAAGAGUUUUUCACAAGUUCAAGGAGUUGACUACGAUGAGAUCUUCUCAUCCAUAGCAAUGCUUAAGUCCAUCGGAAUCAUGUUAGCAUUAGCUGCAUUUAUGUAAUCUGGCAGAUGGAUGUCAAAACGAGUUUCCUUACCAGUUUUCGUAAGGAAAGGUUGUAUGCGAUACAAUCAUAAAGGUUUUGUCGAUCCUAUGGAUGCUAAAAGGUAUGCUAACUCCAGCGAUCCUUCUAAGGACUGGAGUAAGCAUCUCGGAGUUGGAAUGUACGCUUUGAUGAGAUCAUCAAAGAUUUUGGGUUUAUACAAAGUUUAUGAGAAACUUGUAUUUCCAAAGAAAUGAGUGGGAGCACUAUAGAAUUUCUGAUGAGUAUAUGUUGUUGACAUAUUGUGGAUCAGAAAUGAUGUAGAAUUUCUGGAAAGCAUAUAGGGUUAUUUGAAAAGUGUUUUUCAAUAGAAAACCUGGAUUAGGCUACUUGAACAUUGAGCAUCAAGAUCUAUGAGGAUAGAUCAAAACGCUUAAUGGUACUUUCAAAUGAGCACAUACCUUGACAUGAUCUUGAAGGUGUUCAAGAUGGAUCAGUCAAAGAAGGAGUUCUUGCCUGAGUUGUAAGGUAUGAAGUUAAGACUUAAAGCUCGACCGCGGCAGAAGAAAGAGGAAGGACGAAGGUCGUCCCCUAUGCUUUUGUCAUAGGCUCUAUACGGUAUGCCAUGCUGAGUACCGCACCUGAUGUGUGCCUUGCCACAUAUCUGGCAAGAGGGUACAAAGGUAAUCUAGGAGUAGAUCACCAGAUAGCGGUCUAAAUUAUCCUUAGAGGAAUAAGGAUAUGUUUCUCGGUUAUGGAGGUGAUAAAGAGUUUGACGUAAAGAGUUACGUCGAUGCAAGCUUAACACCUAUCUGGAUAGCUCUGAGUAGAGAUAUCGGAUACGUAUAAUGGAGCAACAAUUUAGAAUAGCUCCAAGUAGAACAGUUAUUUGAAAUGGCUCCAAAUGUAGCAUAGUAGUUGCAUAUACAAGAUGACAUAGAAAUUUGCGAAGUACAUACGAAUCUGAAUGUUGCAGACCCGUUGACUGAAACCUCUCUCACAAGCAUAACAUGAUCAAACCCAGAACUCUUGGGUGUUAGUCACAUGGGGAUGUGACCUUGAGUGUUAAUCACAUAUCGAUGUGAACUGGAUUAUUGACUCUAGUGCAAGUGGGAGACUAUUGGAAAUAUGCCCUAAAGGCAAUAAUAAAUUGGUUAUUAUUAUAUUUCCUUGUUCAUGAUAAUCGUUUAUUAUCCAUGCUAGAAUUGUAUUGAUAGGAAACUCAGAUACAUGUGUGGAUACAUAGACAACACCAUGUCCCCAGUAAGCCUCUAGUUGACUAGCUCGUUGAUCCAUAGAUGGUUACGGUUUCCUGACCAUGGACAUUGGAUGUCGUUGAUAACGGGAUCACAUCAUUAGGAGAAUGAUGUGAUGGACAAGACCCAAUCCUAAGCAUAGCACAAGAUCGUGUAGUUCGCAUGCUAAAGCUUUUCUAAUGUCAAGUAUCAUUUCCUUAGACCAUGAGAUUGUGCAACUCCCGGAUACCGUAGGAAUACUUUGGGUGUGCCAAACAUCACAACGUAAUUGGGUGGCUAUAAAGGUGCACUACGGGUAUCUCCGAAAGUGUCUGUUGGGUUGGCACGAAUCGAGACUGGGAUUUGUCACUCCGUGUGACGGAGAGGUAUCGCUGGGCCCACUCAGUAGGACAUCAUCAUAAUGUGCACAAUGUGAUCAAGGAGUUGAUCAUGAGAUGAUGUGUUACGGAACGAGUAAAGAGACUUGCCGGUAACGAGAUUGAACAAGGUAUCGGGAUACCGACGAUCGAAUCUCUGGCAAGUACAAUACCGCUAGACAAAGGGAAUUGUAUACGGGAUUGAUCGAAUCCUCGACAUCGUGGUUCAUCUGAUGAGAUCAUCGUGGAACAUGUGGGCCCAAGGCGCCUAAGGGGAGGAGGGGGGCAAACCCUAAGGGCAGAUGGGCCUUAGGGCCCAUGCCUGGUGCGCCUCCCUCUCCCCCUCGACCUGGACGCCACCCAGAUGGGAUCUGGGGGCUGCCGCCACCCCUAGGGAGGGAACCCUAGGUGGGGGCGCAACCCCUCCCCUCCCCCUAUAUAUACUUGAGGUUUGGGCUGCCCAAGACACACGAGUUCCUCUCCUUCUUGGCGCAGCCCUACCCCUCUCCCUCCUCGUCUCUUGCAGUGCUUGGCGAAGCCCUGCUGGAGUACCAUGCUCCUCCACCACCACCACGCCAUUGUGCUGCUGCUGGAUGGAGUCUUCCUCAACCUCUCCCUCUCUCCGUGCUGGAUCAAGGCAUGGGAGACGUCACCGGGCUGUACGUGUGUUGAACGCGGAGGUGCCGUCCGUUCGGCACUAGGAUCUCCGGUGAUUUGGAUCACGACGAGUACGACUCGUUCAACCCCGUUCUCUUGAACGCUUCCGCUUAGCGAUCUACAAGGGUAUGUAGAUGCACUCUCCUUCCCCUCGUUGCUGGUUUCUCCAUAGAUAGAUCUUGGUGACACGUAGGAAAAUUUUGAAUUGCUGCUACGUUACCCAACAGCCGGUAUCCUCCACCUCCUUCGCCUUCUGUCCUCUCCAUUUGGUUUCUUGGACGCAAAGGAUAUCAACACCUCUCCUCACCACUGCAUCAACUAGCUCCCGAAGCUUCACUGUCAGAGACCCUACGUUCCAGCUACCUAAGCGAAUCCUCCUAGGUUUGGCUAGCUUCCUUACCCUUCGCACUCGUCGAGUCAAAUGCGAAGACCCUUGCCCAUUUUCCACUACAUCCGGGCGCCGAUGUAGCGCGCCACUAAGGAUGCGAUGACCCGAUCCUCGCUCACUUGCCACCGUAUCCGGAUCAAGAUACAGCGCGCCACCUUGGGGGUGACGGCCCGGCCCUUGCCCAUUUUCCACCACACCCGGGUUCCGAUGUAGCGCGUCGCUGAGAGGGUUACGCCCCAACGAAAAUCUUUUGGGUUUCAUCUCCAUAAGAAUGGCUGAGUUUUUACGUUGGCUCGCCAAGCCUAUCACAACCCUCCUCCUUUACCCGGGCUUGGGACCGGCUAUGUUGAGACAACAUAGGCGGAGUUAUGGCAUGAUGGCAAGCAAGGGAAAAUAAACAUCUCGUCAUCCAUCAUGAAGAAUUCCACGGAUUCCUCAAACCAACGCUACAACAAUUUUUUAAAUCACAAAAUAAAGAAGAGAAUGAAUUAGUUUUGUACGACAUGGAAAGCAGAUCAAUUGACGAUUAAAUUCAGCUAACAAUAGUAUACCUAUGCUUUGAUAGAAAUGCAUCAUCAAGCUAACAGAAAUGAAGAAACCAAAUUCACAAAUAUAAUGCAGAUUUAGAGCAAGAUAUGUCUAUAAAACCUAUAAGAAACAAUACAUGGGAUUUGAAAAAAUGGAAAAAUCUAGGUUUGCAACCAUCAAAUCAGCAAUUAAUAAUAUGGGAUUUCUAAAAUACUUUCGGGAAUUAGAAUGACAGAAAUGCUAUUGCGGCACAGUAGCUGAUUCGUGAGUGAGAAUAAACUUAUACACAGAGCAAAUCCAAAGCAUAAAUCUAGCUAGUAAGGAAAGAUCUAAGAUGGUCAGAUAAGAUGUAAAUUGACUCCUGUCUUUAUCACUUUGCUAAUGGAGGUCUGCACAAUACUUGUGCUGCAUAAUAUGCUAAUUAAUCUAAGCAUCAGUAGCAAAAUGACGAGUAAGAAUACACACGAACGCAUGAAAACACCUACAGAGGGAGAAAGGGGAAGAGAGAAAGCGAGGAAACCUGGGAAUGGCUUGGUGCCAUGGAGCCUGGGCAUCUUACGCGGAGCUCGCUGCAGGAUUGACAGCGACGACCUCCACCUCGUCAGCGCUAUGGACCAGUAGUAGGAA
rnacentral:lncRNA from 1 species